GGAAUAUUGCACAAUGGGCGAAAGCCUGAUGCAGCAACGCCGCGUGCGGGAAGACGGCCUUAGGGUUGUAAACCGCUUUCAGCAGGGAAGACACUGACGGUACCUGCAGAAGAAGGUGCGGCCAACUCCGUGCCAGCAGCCGCGGUGACACGUAGGCACCAAGCGUUGUCCGGAUUGAUUGGGCGUAAAGAGCUCGUAGGCGGUUCAGUACGUCGGGUGUGAAAACUCUGGGCUCAACCCAGAGACGCCACCCGAUACUGCUGUGACUUGAGUACGGUAGGGGAGCGGGGAAUUCCUGGUGUAGCGGUGAAAUGCGCAGAUAUCAGGAGGAACACCAGUGGCGAAGGCGCCGCUCUGGGCCGAAACUGACGCUGAGGCGCGAAAGCGUGGGGAGCAAAC
rnacentral:rRNA from 1 species